AUGAGAGUUGAAGUACACUGCAAUCUGCACUGGGAUGUCCGUAAGCUUAAUCUCAUUUAUCCAUUGAAGGAGGUCGUCCUUGUGAUCACUGGAAACAUGUUUGUGAUUGAGGCACACAGCAAAAUGGCUCACACUCACCACCAUUACUCGAAGGACCAUCUCCAUAUACGAGUUGCUUUACCUGAAAGCAGAUUUCUGAAGAUAUAUAUUUUUUGUAUUUGUUUUAUAUUUUUGGACAACUGGUUGUUUAUAUUGGUGGAGAUCCAGUGCUUUACAGAGCCCGCAUAUAAAGGUAAUGUGUAUUGCUAUUUUUCUUACUUAGUAGCAUUAGAAUCUCCCCAUCUCUUUAUACGGAGGUGA
rnacentral:rRNA from 1 species